rnacentral:tRNA from 1 species
AUCAGGAUCUGCUACAUGAAGCAAUUGGGCCCAUACCCCAAAAACGGUAAAUACUACCUCCUGACA